UGCUCCUGCUCAGUACUCCUAACACAAGCCAGCUAGGUGGCCUGAUGGAUCACUAUGCCUGAUUGCCUGAGGAAGCUAGCAGGAAUUGGAAAAACUUGGAGGUGAUGAAGGGAGACAAAUUUCUCUACUGAAAAGUAUCCCUGGAAUAUUUGUGUUAACUUGAAUUGACAUCUCUUAAUACUCCUAAAACUAAAUAUUCAAGUGAAGAAACAAAUGUUUAGAUGAAAGACCCUGCUUUUGUUGAGGUUAAUGAGAGUUUUGCUAUAGAAUUCAAUGGCAGCAAGAUCAACCCUAAAUUUGUUUAUCAGGACUGUAACUUACUUGGGCUGCUACAUAGGAUUUAAAAGGUCUGUUACUUACACUUCACUCUUAUCUUCACCUAGAUGUGUGGUCUGAGUCUAUAAUGCUUAACUGAGAGGAUGGGGGUGGGGGGGUGAGGGGAGAGAGACUAGCGUGUUAUCUAUCAGUUAUGCCUCUUUGUGUAUCCCUGGAUUUGCUGGAACCUUGAGCUCUGUAAACAGCAAUGGGAAAAGUAAAUAAACUUGUGUUUAAAUGAAUCAAUGACAUAUGAAGCAAUAAACUAGCACAACAGCA